AGGCUCGUAGCUCAGUUGGUUAGAGCACCACCUUGACAUGGUGGGGGUCGCUGGUUCGAAUCCAGUCGAGCCUA
rnacentral:tRNA from 1 species